AUGAAGAUCACCGCUUGGAGGAUUGUCACCGGUACCCUGGCCACACAAAAGUGCAAACAAUAUAGACAUAUAUCAACGAGAUCGACGUGCGCUCUUUGUGGUGUGGAGGAGGAGAGCACGUACCAUGCGCUGGUAGCAUGUACGCAUGCGAGAAUCCUGUGGGUGAACAUGCGGCGUCGAUGGCCAUUACCGGCAGAUGACAUGCUCCUUGAUUCUGGAAAAGAAUGGCUUAUCUCCUUACUAAGCAAGUGCACUACAGAUGUGAGGGAUAUACUAAUUAUGCUGCUGUGGAGGAUUUGGCAGAUGCGGAAUGACUUGAUGCAUGGGAAAGAGAGUACGCCAGUCCUCGCUAGUGUUGAGUUCCUAGACAGUUACUACAAGUCGAUCAAACUGGCUGGGAGGUACUCAACAGAUGAGAUUUUAAAAGGCAAGAUGAUUGUCCUAGAGGCUACACCCUCCGCGAGCGUUGUCCGGCCGUCCACAUCUCCAUGGCCGGCGCCCGCUGCUGGGACGGUAGCUCUCUCGGUUGACGGAUCCUUCCAAAAGGAUGACGGUACGGCGGCUGCUGGUAUGGUGCUAAGAAACUCAGAAGGUGCAAUCUUUUUUGCAUCCUAUCGUUUUAUUUUCCACUGCAAUGACUCGCUGGAGGUGGAACUGCAUGCGAUAAUGCAAGCUUAUGGCCACCUUGUGUUAGAGAUCAAGGACUUGUUAGAGCGAAAGGAGGCGACCCACGUUCCUUGGUUCCGUCGCCGGUCAGGCCUGUGGUUCCCUCCCUCUCUGGCGGCUGCUCCGGCGACGGGAGAGUGGGGAACCCCGGAUCUGAGUCCUGGAUCUGACGGUCUAUGGCUGUUGUUUGAUGAUGAACAGGUACACCUGAUUGUCCUGCUUCUGGGGAUGCACCACCAAUUGUUGUUGCUGGCCAUAAUGAGGGUGCCUAUAUGGGUGUCUGACAGUGUUAUCUACUGGGUUGUUCUUGGUUGUGCGGCCAGGGACAACAGUGGUCAACAAGCCAUGUACUUUCAGAGCUACUUGAUUAAUGCUGCCCUGUCCGGGGGAAAUGCCCACCUUUUUGUUGGCUGGCAGAACUUCUGGAGUACCUGGAGGUCCUUCGGUCACCAAUGUCUCAGGGUCGUGCGGUGGUGCUCCGACGGUCUACGACGGCCAUUGUUGCUGCCCGUACAGGAGCUCAUGGCAUUCAGAUCUAUUGGAGACUUUGCCAGAGACGGCUAUUUCAUCGGGGUGUUGGUCCUCAACCUCAAGACCAAUGUUCAGAGACUCCCCGUCUGCUACGGAGAUUCACCGGUGAUCAUGCAUAGAGACGACGGCAGCGGCGCGUUGUCGACUCAUUCCGGUGGAUGGGGUGGUUCUGCGGCCCCUCAAGGACUUCGUUUGGAGAGAGAACGCUCUUGGCGACACUUGGAGAACAAUGCAACUGCCACGCCUAGGAAGAAAACUCUAGAAGCAGGAUGGUGGGUCCCAGCCACCGAUUCCCCCUCUCCUUUUCCUUCUCAACCGCCCAGCCUUAUCCUUUCAUCCUCUUCCUUUUCUUUCUCGUCUACCAUGGACGGCAUCUUAGCUCGCACCCUUCCCUCCUUGCGCGGUUCUUCAACCACAAAUGAUGUGGGCUGCAACGGGCGGUGCGGCGAGCUGAAAACGGUGACUUUUCUACUGCAACCGGGCAUCCAAGCGCUGGAACCGGUGCACCCCGCUGCUUCAACCGGUGAAAGGUCUUCGCGCCGUGGGAGAUUUUUUUGCUGGGCACAAUGGUGCACGCCGACAACCAUGGCGAGUAGAAGGACCGCGGCGAGACGGAGGUGGGGCUACGCUGGGGGUGCUGCAAUCAUGGCGCCUGCGAGCUGGAUCUGGCUUUUUAGAGCUUCAUCCUUGAUGAAUUGCGCCUGGAAUCAAUGGCGGCGGUUAUGUAAUCCCGGCGGCCAUGGAGCUGGACCUCGCCAGAGCUCGUCGGGCACGGCUAGAACGGCAACGAGGAGGGGUGGUGGUGGUGUGCCCGUGAUGGCUAGACGCAUGGCUGGCGGCGAGCGGAUGCGAGGCUCCGAGGCUCGUCUGGUGGUCCAAUUAGCUCCUCCUUCCUCUGUUCCGGCUUCGGCUUCGGCUUCCUUCAUACUGGAUGGGAGGAAUGGAUCGAGUUUAUGCAAAAUUGAUGCAUGUAGUUCUGUACUAUGCAAAGUUGAUGCAAGCAGUCCUGUAUCUCAGAAAGGGCAUUUGCCUCAUGAUUUUCAAACUGUCGUGCCUUAUAGAAGUUUGCCAACAUGGCGAGUUUGCCUCUAUUCAAGGCUAGUUAUACGUCUUUUUGGAAAAAAUGAACAAGUGAGAGAUGCUUUUGGCUAUGGUGGAAGAAAUUGCACAAUGACAUCCGGUGACAUCUGGCACUACAACAGUGGAAAUGCAUCGUGCCCACCGACGCAUCAAUUAGAAACAAACACAUUCAUGGUGGCGAUCAUAGAUUCCACUGAAGGCCUUAAAAGGCUAAGAGGUGAAAAGAGAAUUGGGCCACAUAGGCCCAUGCAGGGGAGGCGCCCCCUUUCCCACUAUGCGGAGGCCGAAUUGGAAAGGGGGGAUCCUCCUUCCCCUAGGGUCGGCGCAAGGGGAGAGGGUUCCUUGCCCUUGUGUGGCGCCCCCUCCUUCCACUUGGGCACUAUUGUUCUUGGGUGA
rnacentral:rRNA from 1 species